UUAUCUCGUUAGGGGUGUUGGUAUCAUCUGAGAGUCCGGGAAAGGACAACCCUUAUCCACCUGAUCAGGGUAAUACCUGCGAAGGGAAACGGGCAUGCGAUUCG
rnacentral:ncRNA from 2 species